CUACGGGAGGCUGCAGUGAGGAAUAUUGCACAAUGGGGGGAACCCUGAUGCAGCAACGCCGCGUGGAGGAUGACGCAUUUCGGUGUGUAAACUCCUUUUAUAUGUCAAGAAAAUGACGGUAGCAUAUGAAUAAGCGCCGGCUAACUCCGUGCCAGCAGCCGCGGUAAUACGGAGGGCGCAAGCGUUACUCGGAAUCACUGGGCGUAAAGGACGCGUAGGCGGGUUGAAAAGUCAGGUGUGAAAGCCUACAGCUUAACUGUAGAACUGCACUUGAAACUCUCAAUCUAGAGUAUGGGAGGGGCAGAUGGAAUUAGUGGUGUAGGGGUAAAAUCCGUAGAUAUCACUAGGAAUACCUAAAGCGAAGGCGAUCUGCUGGAACAUUACUGACGCUAAGGCGUGAAAGCGUGGGGAGCAAACAGGAUUAGAUACCCCCGUAGUC
rnacentral:rRNA from 1 species